CCUACGGGAGGCAGCAGUGAGGAAUAUUGGUCAAUGGACGAGAGUCUGAACCAGCCAAGUAGCGUGAAGGAUGACUGCCCUAUGGGAUGUAAACUUCUUUUAUAUGGGAAUAAAACGUUCCACGUGUGGGAUUUUGUAUGUACCAUAUGAAUAAGGAUCGGCUAACUCCGUGCCAGCAGCCGCGGUAAUACGGAGGAUCCGAGCGUUAUCCGGAUUUAUUGGGUUUAAAGGGAGCGUAGGUUGAUUGUUAAGUCAGUUGUGAAAGUUUGCGUCUCAACCGUAAAAUUGCAGUUGAAACUGGCAGUCUUGAGUACAGUAGAGGUGGGCGGGAUUCGUGGUGUAGCGGUGAAAUGCUUAGAUAUCACGAAGAACUCCGAUUGCGAAGGCAGUUCACUGGACUGCAACUGACACUGAGGCUCGAAAGUGUGGGUAUCAAACAGGAUUAGAUACCCGGGUAGUC
rnacentral:rRNA from 1 species